AAUCAACGCUGGCGGCGUGCCUCAGACAUGCAAGUCGAACGAUUAAAGCUCUCUUCGGAGAGUGUAUAGAGUGGCGCACGGGUGAGUAACACGUAAGUAAUCUACCUUUGAGUGGGGAAUAACAGUCGGAAACGACUGCUAAUACCGCAUAAUGCAGCGGCAUCGCAAGAUGACAGUUGUUAAAGGAGCAAUCCGCUUAAAGAGGAGCUUGCGGCAGAUUAGCUAGUUGGUAAGGUAAUGGCUUACCAAGGCUACGAUCUGUAUCCGGUCUAAGAGGACGGUCGGACACACUGACACUGAAUAACGGGUCAGACUCCUACGGGAGGCAGCAGUCGGGAAUUUUGGGUCAAUGGGCGAAAGCCUGACCCAGCAACGCCGCGUGAAGGAUGAAGUAUUUCGGUAUGUAAACUUCGAAAGAAUGGGAAGAAUAAUGACGGUACCAUUUAUAAGGUCCGGCUAACUACGUGCCAGCAG
rnacentral:rRNA from 1 species